UCUCCGUUGGUGAACCAGCGGAGGGAUCAUUACAGGAUCGAAAGACUCCUAUAACCCCUGUGAACUUACUACAAAUACGUUUCUUCGGCGGGUGCCCCGGGUCUCCCGGGGCGUUCAGCCCGCCGGCAGCCUUCAAAUUCUGUUUCUUUGCGUUGGCAUCUCGAAUAUACAAAAAUAAGUUAAAACUUUCAACAACGGAUCUCUUGGUUCUG
rnacentral:misc_RNA from 1 species